rnacentral:rRNA from 1 species
UAGUUGGUGAGGUAAUGGCUCACCAAGGCAAUGACGCCUAACUGGUUUGAGAGGAUGAUCAGUCACACUGGAACUGAGACACGGUCCAGACUCCUACGGGAGGCAGCAGUGGGGAAUAUUGCACAAUGGAGGAAACUCUGAUGCAGCAACGCCGCGUGGAGGAUGACACUUUUCGGAGCGUAAACUCCUUUUAUAUAGGAAGAUAAUGACGGUACUAUAUGAAUAAGCACCGGCUAACUCCGUGCCAGCAGCCGCGGUAAUACGGAGGGUGCAAGCGUUACUCGGAAUCACUGGGCGUAAAGAGCGUGUAGGCGGGUUAAUAAGUUGGAAGUGAAAUCCUAUAGCUCAACUAUAGAACUGCUUUCAAAACUGUUAACCUAGAAUAUGGGAGAGGUAGAUGGAAUUUCUGGUGUAGGGGGUAAAAAUCCGUAGAGAUCAGAAGGAAUACCGAUUGCGAAGGCGAUCUACUGGAACAUUAUUGACGCUGAGACGCGAAAGCGUGGGGAGCAAACAGGAUUAGAUACCCUGGUAGUCCACGCCCUAAACGAUGUACACUAGUUGUUGCGAUGCUAGACAUUGCAGUAAUGCAGUUAGCACAUUAAGUGUACCGCCUGGGGAGUACGGUCGCAAGAUUAAAACUCAAAGGAAUAGACGGGGACCCGCACAAGCGGUGGAGCAUGUGGUUUAAUUCGACGAUACGCGAAGAACCUUACCUGGACUUGACAUUUACAGAAUUUUUCAGAGAUGAAUUAUGUCUGCUUGCAGAAACUGUAGGACAGGUGCUGCACGGCUGUCGUCAGCUCGUGUCGUGAGAUGUUGGGUUAAGUCCCGCAACGAGCGCAACCCACGUCGUUAGUUGCUAACAGUUCGGCUGAGAACUCUAACGAGACUGCCUGGGCAACCAGGAGGAAGGUGUGGACGACGUCAAGUCAUCAUGGCCCUUACGUCCAGGGCUACACACGUGCUACAAUGGGGCAUACAAAGAGCAGCGAUACCGCGAGGUGGAGCAAAUCUCAAAAAUGCCUCCCAGUUCGGAUAGUAGUCUGCAACUCGACUACUUGAAGUUGGAAUCGCUAGUAAUCGUAGAUCAGCAAUGCUACGGUGAAUACGUUCCCGGGUCUUGUACUCACCGCCCGUCACACCAUGGGAGUUGAACUCAUUCGAAGCGGGGAUGCUAAGAUAGCUACCCUCCACAGUGGAUUCAGCGACUGGGGUG